GCUGUAGUCGGAACAGUCCCGCCGCCGACUUGGGCCACUCUGGGUUGUCCCACCUCCGUUGUCCUGUACCAGCCACCCCCCUCAACCUCGCAUCGAAGCAGCAACUGAACCAACAGUGCCCCCUACAGGCCUUGGCCUCCAGGGACGGCCCCACCCAAGGCUGCCUCUGGGAGCACAGGGAAUGUUCUCCUGCGAAGAGAAGGUUCCUUGAGGUUUUGCCUGGAACUCCAGGGUUUGGACUCCCAAAACGGCCUCCCUAGAAUAAGUGGCUGCCUCUUCUCCCCCUCCCCCUCCCAAGCAUCUUUGAUGCACUGGAUUUAGCACAGAGACCGGAUUAGGGGACAGGAGGCCCAGGUUCGAGGACAAUUCAGUCACUGGCUGGCUCUGUGACCUCAGACCCGUCCAACCAGGCCUCUUUCCUGGAGACCCUGAAGUCCCAGAUAACUGCCCAGCUCAAGAAUUCCCUGAGCUCUGCCAAACCUGUGGCCAAAAGGAGCCUGAGGCGCACCUUGCAGCCAUGCAGGGCGAUCGGGGGGGUCCCAGCAGCUUGUCCAGACAGGUGAGCGCCUAGUGCAUCACCUGGUCAUUCAACCCCACCGGGCAGCCCAGGUCCCCCUCGGCGGUCCCUCUCAGGGUGGGGCGCUCUGGGGAGCCGCGGGUCCGCGCCCCGGCAGACCCCGCCACCUGCCUGGGCUCCUCUGGCUUGCGUGCCGUGGACACCAGCGGGUUUAGCACGUUCUUUCCCAUUCGGCACUUGGCGGGGUCACCUUACGUGUGGUGUUUAUGAUGAAGCCUGCUAACGAUGUCUCCUGACUGAAGCAAAUUUGACUUCUAUAACGGCCCGAGAAAAGGUCACAGGCUGGGAGACUGUAUUACUCUGUCACAGGAAUUAAAGGAGCAGUUUGCCUCAAUAAAGGACGGUCUGCCUGGUGGCCUCUCACCCCUUGCCAGCUUCCUCCUGCUAUCUUCCCUGAUGAUGUGGAUAAGAAUCCUGUGACAACAUUAACAAAAAACAAGCAUCUUCUCUGGGGGCGGGGUGAAGAGUGAAUGUGCUGGAAUUCUUUAAUUUCAUCUCCUUGCAAGCUAAGAAGACAGGCAAGAAAGCCAAUGGCUCCUGCUAGAACCGAAAUGGACACCUGUAACGAAUAGUGCAAGAAAGCUCCCGGGGGAGAAAACUGUGCAAGCCUGUGUCGCAGCAAAAGAAGGGGCUGCUUUACUGUGACCCGCUCCGAUCUGUCAGGAGCCCUUGAGAACAGGGCCCACAGAUGAGAAGGGACCAGCUCCCAGCCCAGCUGUCUCAGCCCUGAGACGGAGGGAGAAACCAGGUCUGCAGAAGCCAGGUCACCUUGAGGAAGUAUCAGUAGAAACUGUCAGGAAGAGCUUGAAAUCUGUCAGAGGCUCACAUCCCUUGUCCGGACGCGUCCUGACUCUGCGCAUGACAGCAAAGCUCAGGGGUGUGCCGUUUUCAGACAGUUCUUGGCAAGAUGCCUCCAGAUAUUACAUUCCUGGCGGGCGUAUACAGACGGCCAAGAGGGCGCAGGGAGCACCGACUCUGGCGGGAUUGUGCCUUCGUUCCGGGAGGCGCCUUCUCUGAUCAUUUCCAGAGGGCCCGGAGCCAAAGAUGCGAUACCCCACCCCCCGCCCCAUGCAUUUUUUUCCAGUCCCGGUUUUUAUCACAAAAGAUGACAAAUCUAUACAAAUGAACAGAAUGGGGUAAUGAGCCCCCGUGGACCCAUCGUGGGGCUCCGGCAAUUAUCAGCGUCCUGCAUGUUUCUUUUAGCGAUGCCUCCUUCCGCGUGGCAUCCCUCCUGUUGAUUUCUUUUUUUUUGCAGGGUUUUUUUUUUUUUUUUAGAUAAAACUUAAAUGCAUUGAAAUGCACAAAGCUUCACUCUACGUUUUUGACAAAUGGAUACAUUCAUAUAACUUGUAGGGGAGGAGAAAGUUUUCCUUGACCACCUUAGAGUCCCUGGCUGGGUCUGAAAAUUAAACUGGCAGGGACAGAUUAACAGGAGGAAAGUCUACACGUGUUAUCCCAUUUUUACACGUCCAUAGGAGCCUUCACAAGGAAAGGAAGAUCCAAAGAAGUGACCGGAGCAGAAAGCUUUUACACGUUUUAGACCAAAAAAAUAGAACCAAUAAAUUAGUGAAGAAUGGACAAGACCAAAGGGUUUGCACCGGGGGUAGUAAGUGGGUAAGAAGUAAUUAGAAAAAUAGGGUUAGUUAAAAAAAAAAAAAAGGAAAAAGAAUAAAAAAAAAAGAAGGGUUAGUUUGGCAAGGUUUGUUUGCACGAACAAAUUUGCCGUGCUUGGCCCCAGAUUCCGAUCUCCGGUGAUAAGAAUUUCAGGGAAGAAGGGAGGGGAGGGGAAGGUCACAGCGACCUUCUUGAUUCUGCCAUUUACAAAAUCCGUUAAGCGUAAAACGUUGAAUGUGCCAAGGUGCCAGAUUUCAGGGUAACGUGGUCUGAACCCCAGCAAACCAACCCCUCAUUACAAUAUAGGACUAGAAUGAUCUGUAGUGUCUCUUCCCAGUCAAUAUCUCCACCCCAUCAGGCAACCACUGGCCUGAUUUUUUUCCCCAGAGAUCCAUAUAAAUAAAACCACAUGGGAUGCA